GGGGACUUAGCUUAGUUGGUAGAGCGCCUGCUUUGCACGCAGGAGGUCAGGAGUUCGACU
rnacentral:tRNA from 1 species